rnacentral:rRNA from 1 species
GACGAACGCUGGCGGCGUGCUUAACACAUGCAAGUCGAACGGAAAGGCCUUUUCGGAGGUACUCGAGUGGCGAACGGGUGAGUAACACGUGGGUGAUCUGCCCUGCACUCUGGGAUAAGCCUGGGAAACUGGGUCUAAUACCGGAUAGGACCGCACUUUAGUGUGUGUGGUGGAAAGUUUUUUCGGUGUAGGAUGAGCCCGCGGCCUAUCAGCUUGUUGGUGGGGUAAUGGCCUACCAAGGCGGCGACGGGUAGCCGGACUGAGAGGUUGGUCGGCCACAUUGGGACUGAGGUACGGCCCAGACUCCUACGGGAGGCAGCAGUGGGGAAUAUUGCACAAUGGGCGCAAGCCUGAUGCAGCGACGCCGCGUGGGGGAGGACGGCCUUCGGGUUGUAAACUCCUUUCGCCAGGGACGAAGCGUUUUGUGACGGUACCUGGAGAAGAAGCACCGGCUAACUACGUG